rnacentral:rRNA from 1 species
UACGGAGGGUGCGAGCGUUAAUCGGAAUUACUGGGCGUAAAGGGCGCGUAGGCGGCCGAUCAAGUCAGAUGUGAAAGCCCACGGCUUAACUUCGGAACUGCAUCUGAAACUGUGUCUCUUGAGUGCUGGAGAGGAAAGCGGAAUUCCUAGUGUAGCGGUGAAAUGCGUAGAUAUUAGGAGGAACACCAGUGGCGAAGGCGGCUUUCUGGACAGUAACUGACGCUGAGGCGCGAAAGCGUGGGGAGCAAACAGGAUUAGAUACCCGUGUAGU